rnacentral:snoRNA from 1 species
AAGCCAAUGAGGAUUUCAUUAUUAUAGUUGGAAUUACAGACUGAAUAUUUAAUUUAUUUUUAUGUCAACUCGACUGGCUGAGGCUUCCU